rnacentral:rRNA from 1 species
CACGCCCUAAACUAUGUCAACUGGUUGUUGGGAAUUCAUUUUCUCAGUAACGAAGCUAACGCGUGAAGUUGACCGCCUGGGGAGUACGGCCGCAAGGCUAAAACUCAAAGGAAUUGACGGGGACCCGCACAAGCGGUGGAUGAUGUGGUUUAAUUCGAUGCAACGCGAAAAACCUUACCCACCUUUGACAUGUACGGAACUUGCCAGAGAUGGCUUGGUGCCCGAAAGGGAGCCGUAACACAGGUGC